UGUUUGCAUCAUCACAGCUAGAUCAGAACCUAAAUAAUAGAGAUGGUUUCUCACAGAUUUACUCUGCAGCAUUAAUCACUGCAGACAGGUCUCAGCUUCACUAAGGAAAAAUGGAGAGCACAGCACUGAGGUCUCUGCUUUAUUUUGAUUAGAGUAUGACAAGAUGACAUAGGACGUGAACUACAGACUAAAUGAAGAAGAAGAGACAGAACCUGAAGUCAGGAAGACAGAUGGGAGUACAGAGGUACUUCGAAUACCUGCGUCCCCAUGAACUAGUGAACUCGUCACUGAGAUACCUUGAGAUGCUUCACGUCACGACUUCCCUACAGGAACAGCAUCACUCAUGGUGAACUGCUCAGCAUGGCUACUGCUGCUGUUGAGUUCUGUUCCUUGUCUGUGAUUUCUUCAUUCACCGUGACUCAGACAACCUCUGCAGCAAUUGUACUUUAUUCCAUGGCAUUUGGAAUUGACUGGAAGGAGCAAUAUCCUCUUUUCUGAAGUUGUGAGACUUCUUCCCAAAGAUCAAUACCUCCGACACAAUGAGAGAAGACUGAUGAUUUGCUCGGAGUGGACUCUUCAUCACCAGUUCCUCAGAAGCAAAACCCAACACAAAUAAGCACCUCUAGAAUUCUGUGGAUGAGUGAUACCUGUGGGGUCUCUUCCUCCAAAUCUGUUUUAACUCAAGUCAGAGGAGAACUGAGGGUCUUGCGAAGUUGCACAGUUGCUAAAUUGCCUACACCGGGCUCAAAUUCAAUCCUCCUGUCUCCAUCUUCCGAAGUGCUGGGAUUACAGCUGUGCACCACAAUACCUGGCUAAAACCACGGGGUUGUUAAGUAGUUGGGAAGCCAGACUAUGAUGCCCAAUAUGGAUUGACUAUUAUCUUCUUUUGAAGUCCUGGAAGGUCCUCAGUGUAGGUUUUAUUGGUUCUGUACCUUUUUUGAUCAAUUCUAUUAUACCUGAUGAUAUAGACAACUCGAUUUAAAAAUAGCAAGAGGCACAAUGGUAACCACUUUUGAUCACCUGGUAUUCUAUUUUUGCAUCAUGUACUAUGCCCAUCCUUCUGUUCUAACUGACUCUGUUUUGCUUAGUCACGUUUGGUUUUAUUCUCUUCAAAAAAGUAAUACGAACUGUGAGAGUAAUAAAACCCUAAAAGUCUAAUUGCUACUGUAAAAAAGAGAGGAAAGUAAGGUGGACUAAGGGAUAUAACCGCAGGUAUGUUCGAGAGUGUAGGAUGGAAAACCAUAUAACUGAGCUUUUGUUGGAUCAUUGAACGGAACUGUCUCCAAUUUCACUGUAUGAAUGUCCACUUUAUAUGCUUUAAUUUAGUGAUAUGGACAACUGUUUCUGGGAAGGUAAUAUGUAACCUAUUAACUGGUGAUUUUGUACUGUAUAUAUUUUUUUCUUGAAAUACUGUAUUAUUUGUACCCUUUUACUACAUUGUUUUUUUAUGUCCUUUCUUUUUUCUUCUCUCUUUAAAUAAAAAAAAGAUUAUUUUCAGCAUCAAA